GAUGAAUACUUUUUUUUCAUAAAUAGUAGGAGUAGGGGACACAACUAUAAAUUUUUGGCAAGGUAGGAGUCAACUUCAGCUAAGACAGUUUAAUUUUCU